AACGAACGCUGGCGGCAUGCCUAACACAUGCAAGUCGAACGAGACCUUCGGGUCUAGUGGCGCACGGGUGCGUAACGCGUGGGAACCUGCCCUUAGGUUCGGAAUAACUCCCCGAAAGGGGUGCUAAUACCGGAUAAUGUCUUCGGACCAAAGAUUUAUCGCCUUUGGAUGGGCCCGCGUUGGAUUAGCUAGUUGGUAGGGUAAAAGCCUACCAAGGCGACGAUCCAUAGCUGGUCCGAGAGGAUGAUCAGCCACACUGGGACUGAGACACGGCCCAGACUCCUACGGGAGGCAGCAGUGGUGAAUAUUGGACAAUGGGCGAAAGCCUGAUCCAGCAAUGCCGCGUGAGUGAUGAAGGCCUUAGGGUUGUAAAGCUCUUUUACCCGGGAUGAUAAUGACAGUACCGGGAGAAUAAGCUCCGGCUAACUCCGU
rnacentral:rRNA from 1 species